rnacentral:rRNA from 1 species
CCUACGGGGGGCUGCAGUGGGGAAUAUUGGACAAUGGGCGAAAGCCUGAUCCAGCCAUGCCGCGUGUGUGAAGAAGGCCUUCGGGUUGUAAAGCACUUUCAGUGGGGAAGAAAGCCUUGGGGCUAAUACCCUCGAGGAAGGACAUCACCCACAGAAGAAGCACCGGCUAACUCCGUGCCAGCAGCCGCGGUAAUACGGAGGGUGCGAGCGUUAAUCGGAAUUACUGGGCGUAAAGCGCGCGUAGGCGGUCUGAUAAGCCGGUUGUGAAAGCCCCGGGCUCAACCUGGGAACGGCAUCCGGAACUGUCAGGCUAGAGUGCAGGAGAGGAAAGUAGAAUUCCCGGUGUAGCGGUGAAAUGCGUAGAGAUCGGGAGGAAUACCAGUGGCGAAGGCGGCCUUCUGGACUGUCACUGACGCUGAGGUGCGAAAGCGUGGGUAGCAAACAGGAUUAGAUACCCGUGUAGUC